rnacentral:rRNA from 1 species
CCCGGGCCUUGUACACACCGCCCGUCACACCAUGGGAGUGGGUUGUACCAGAAGUAGGUAGCCUAACCGCAAGGGGGGCGCCUACCACGGUAUGGUUCAUGACUGGGGUG